UACAGAGGGUGCGAGCGUUGUCCGGAAUCACUGGGCGUAAAGGGCGCGUAGGCGGCCUGAUAAGUCGGGGGGUGAAAAUCCUGUGGCUCAACCACAGGGCUGCCUCCGGGACUGUCGGGCUCGAGCACAGUAGAGGCAGGGUGGAAAUUUCCCGGUGUAGCGGUGGAAAUGCGUAGAGAUCGGGGAAGAACAUCGGUGGC
rnacentral:rRNA from 1 species